ensembl:lncRNA
UUUGCAACCUGACACUGUUCAGCUUUUUUAUCUUUUACCAGUAUUUGGGGACUUAUUGGGGAUUCCUUUGAUAAUUUCAGGAAGAAAGAAGUGGAAUGGAAGGAGCCAGUAACUGUCCCAGGUCAGAAAACGCCUCUGAAAAGGAUCUACAUUACACCCAAAGUUCAUUGGAUAACUGCACCCUCAACAAUCAGGAGACAAUAAGUGGUGUAGACAGAGCUAAUAUCUUCCCCAAAUCAGAUGGUACCUCUGAAGACAUUCAGCAUUCCACAGACUGUUCACAGGUUGAGACUUUCCACAUUCAGGAGACAAUAAGUGGUACGAACCAAGCCAGUAACUGCCCCAAAUCAGAUGGUGCCUCUGAAGACAAUCAGCAUUGCACAGACAGUUCACAGCAUGACAGUAUCUUCCACAUUCAGGAGACAAUAAAGGGUAUGAACCAAGCCAGUAACUGCCCCAAAUCAGAUGGUGCCUCUGAAGACAAUCAGCAUUGCACAGACAGUCCACAGCAUGACAGUAUCUUCCACAUUCAGGAGACAAUAAAGGGUAUGAACCAAGCCAGUAACUGCCCCAAAUCAGAUGGUGCCUCUGAAGACAAUCAGCAUUGCACAGACAGUUCACAGCAUGACAGUAUCUUCCACAUUCAGGAGACAAUAAAGGGUACGAACCAAGCCAGUAACUGCCCCAAAUCAGAUGGUGCCUCUGAAGACAAUCAGCAUUGCACAGACAGUUCACAGCAUGACAGUAUCUUCCACAUUCAGGAGACAAUAAAGGGUACGAACCAAGCCAGUAACUGCCCCAAAUCAGAUGGUGCCUCUGAAGACAAUCAGCAUUGCACAGACAGUUCACAGCAUGACAGUAUCUUCCACAUUCAGGAGACAAUAAAGGGUACGAACCAAGCCAGUAACUGCCCCAAAUCAGAUGGUGCCUCUGAAGACAAUCAGCAUUGCACAGACCGUCCACAGCAUGACAGUAUCUUCCACAUUCAGUGGCUCUUGAUGUAGAACCACCCAUAGAUCCUUCUGCAAAAGAAGUCCAGAAAUCUUCAAUUGAACAAGCAACAGAAAUAACAAGUACCACAACUACCAUGAAAGGUACUGUUUGUUAAACUUCAUAGAAAGCCUUUAUGAACUUAAAAAUCUCUGUUUUUUCUGAUGUGCUUUGUUCAUUCAGGUCGAAAGGUGGUAAAGAAAAAGAAAUGGGACAGUGAUGAAAUGAAUGCAGUUGAAAAGCAUCUAAACAGGUUCAUCAAAACUUGUACAGUGCCAGGAAAACAACAAUGUGAGGCCUGUAUAAAUGCUGAACCUGUUGCCUUGAAAGACAGGGAUUGGUUGUCUGUAAAGUUCUUUGUGAAGAACAAAAUCACUACCCUUAAAAGAAGAAUGUAAAGUCAGUUAUUUUAUUUUGUUUGGUAUCUUAUUUUCUGGUAUUUUAGAUUUCUGGUUAUUACAUUUGUUUUAAAAGGAUCUUAGAAUCUCUUUUUUUUUUUUUUUUGGAAAUGGGUGC